AGUGGGGAAUAUUGCACAAUGGGCGGAAGCCUGAUGCAGCAACGCCGCGUGCGGGAUGACGGCCUUCGGGUUGUAAACCGCUUUCAGCAGGGACGAAGCGUGAGUGACGGUACCUGCAGAAGAAGCACCGGCUAACUACGUGCCAGCAGCCGCGGUGAUACGUAGGGUGCGAGCGUUGUCCGGAUUUAUUGGGCGUAAAGAGCUUGUAGGCGGUUGGUUGCGUCGAAAGUGCAAACUCAGGGCUUAACUCUGAGCCUGCUUUCGAUACGGGCUGACUGGAGGAAGGUAGGGGAGAAUGGAAUUCCCGGUGGAGCGGUGGAAUGCGCAGAUAUCGGGAGGAACACCAGUGGCGAAGGCGGUUCUCUGGACCUUUCCUGACGCUGAGAAGCGAAAGCGUGGGGAGCAAACAGGCUUAGAUACCCUGGUAGUCCACGCUGUAAACGGUGGGUACUAGGUGUGGGGGACAUUCCACGUUCUCUGUGCCGUAGCUAACGCAUUAAGUACCCCGCCUGGGGAGUACGGCCGCAAGGCUAAAACUCAAAGGAAUUGACGGGGCCCCGCACAAGCGGCGGAGCAUGCGGAUUAAUUCGAUGCAACGCGAAGAACCUUACCUGGGUUUGACAUAUAUCGGAAACGUUCAGAGAUGGGCGCCCCGUAAGGUCGGUAUACAGGUGGUGCAUGGCUGUCGUCAGCUCGUGUCGUGAGAUGUUGGGUUAAGUCCCGCAACGAGCGCAACCCUCGUCCAAUGUUGCCAGCGGGUUAUGCCGGGGACUCAUUGGAGACCGCCGGGGUCAACUCGGAGGAAGGUGGGGAUGACGUCAAGUCAUCAUGCCCCUUAUGUCCAGGGCUUCACGCAUGCUACAAUGGCCGGUACAAAGAGUUGCGAGCCUGUGAGGGUGAGCGAAUCUCAAAAAGCCGGUCUCAGUUCGGAUUGGGGUCUGCAACUCGACCCCAUGAAGUCGGAGUCGCUAGUAAUCGCAGAUCAGCAACGCUGCGGUGAAUACGUUCCCGGGGCUUGUACACACCGCCCGUCAAGUCAUGAAAGUCGGUAACACCCGAAGCCGGUGGCCUAACCCGUUUGGGGGGGAGCUGUCGAAGGUGGGACUGGUAAUUAGGACU
rnacentral:rRNA from 1 species